rnacentral:rRNA from 1 species
GAUGAACGCUGGCGGCGUGCCUAAUACAUGCAAGUCGAGCGAACGGACGAGAAGCUUGCUUCUCUGAUGUUAGCGGCGGACGGGUGAGUAACACGUGGAUAACCUACCUAUAAGACUGGGAUAACUUCGGGAAACCGUAGCUAAUACCGGAUAAUAUUUUGAACCGCAUGGUUCAAAAGUGAAAGACGGUCUUGCUGUCACUUAUAGAUGGAUCCGCGCUGCAUUAGCUAGUUGGUAAGGUAACGGCUUACCAAGGCAACGAUGCAUAGCCGACCUGAGAGGGUGAUCGGCCACACGGGAACUGAGACACGGUCCAGACUCCUACGGGAGGCAGCAGUAGGGAAUCUUCCGCAAUGGGCGAAAGCCUGACGGAGCAACGCCGCGUGAGUGAUGAAGGUCUUCGGAUCGUAAAACUCUGUUAUUAGGGAAGAACAUAUGUGUAAGUAACUGUGCACAUCUGGACGGUACCUAAGCAGAAAGACACGGCUAACUACGU